rnacentral:rRNA from 1 species
UUUGGACUGGCCUGGAAACGGGGUCUAAUACCGGAUACGACACGGGGUCGCAUGACCUCCGUGUGGAAAGCUCCGGCGGUGAAGGAUGAGCCCGCGGCCUAUCAGCUUGUUGGUGGGGUGAUGGCCUACCAAGGCGACGACGGGUAGCCGGCCUGAGAGGGCGACCGGCCACACUGGGACUGAGACACGGCCCAGACUCCUACGGGAGGCAGCAGUGGGGAAUAUUGCACAAUGGGCGAAAGCCUGAUGCAGCGACGCCGCGUGAGGGAUGACGGCCUUCGGGUUGUAAACCUCUUUCAGCAGGGAAGAAGCGAGAGUGACGGUACCUGCAGAAGAAGCGCCGGCUAACUACGUGCCAGCAGCCGCGGUAAUACGUAGGGCGCAAGCGUUGUCCGGAAUUAUUGGGCGUAAAGAGCUCGUAGGCGGCUUGUCGCGUCGGAUGUGAAAGCCCGGGGCUUAACCCCGGGUCUGCAUUCGAUACGGGCAGGCUA